UGAUUAUAUCCUAUGCCUUGCCUGUAGCCUCCUAUGCGGAAACUCUUUUCAUUUGUUUGAUUAAGGAUAUAAUCCUUGUUGCUGCAUUCUGAUAGCUUGGUGAUUCUCAGUGCUUGCAUGAUAGUUGGGAAUAGGGUCCAGGCAUGGAGAAAACAGUUAUCAUUACUGCCUUGCGUUCAAUUCCAGAUUUUAAGACAACCGAGAUAUAGUUUACUCCACCAAAUAGGCUGGCAAAAAGUUAAUUCUUCUUGUAUAGACGUUCACCCUUCUAGCAAAGCUUUUGCUUUAAAGAACAAGCCGAUUCAAUAACGUAUAUAAGUUUUCAUAGUGAAUUGUCUACUUUAAUUCAAGUAUUCCCACUGUUUGAUCUCUGAAUAUCUACUAUAUGUCUCCAAAGAUUUGAACAAAGAUCCAACUGUAGUUACUAAUUUUAAAAGAAAAUAUUAAAAAAUCGAAUCUGCUUGCUGAGGAAGAAAUUGGAUCAAAUGGGCUUGCUCUUAGAACGCAGGAAUAGAUAUUCAGACAUAACUAAAAUGGGCUUAAUCCAUCCAGCUGUAAUAAAUAAUAAAUUGGUCUGGCUUCCAAAGAAGAUUUGGAGCAGACUGUUUGUGGGUUCAAAUGGAGAAGAAUUCUGUUUCAACCACAGCUAGUAUAGCAGGAGAAGCACAAUCUUCUUCAGAAGUAACCGUCGCCAAAUCCUUGCCUGCAGAGUAUGUGCGUGAGAUUGAAAGUUUUUUCAUUCGGAAAGGAAGCUCAGCCCAUCUCCCUGAAAACCAUAAAUCAAAGGAUUUCUAUUCUCAUCUCUUUCGGCAUCUCCUCAGAGCUAAUUAUGUCCAGCGUGGCCGUGUCUCCUGCUUGUUCUCCGUCCUAUCUGCUUUCGCUAAUAUUUUCAAUGGAUUACAUGGAGGGGUAAUUGGAGGCAUAGCAGAGAGAGUGGCAAUUGCUUGUGCUAGAACCAUUGUAUCUGAGGACAAAGAGCUUUUUCUUGGCGAAUUGAGUAUGUCUUAUCUUUCUGCGGCUCCAUUGAACGAGGAGUGUGUAGUUGAUGGGUCCACUGUAAGGAGCGGAAGAAAUUUAACUGUAGUUGCAAUGGAAUUCAGAAUCAAAAAGACAGGGAAGUUGGUUUACACUGCUCGUGCUACCUUGUACCAUAUGCCCAUUGCCAAGCUAUGAAAUAUCCAUGGUUUUGACAAUGUAUGAGCUCAUCUCAUUAAUUCCAUGAGAAUGCAAUGAGAAUUUCUUUUGUUCAUUAACCUUGUCGAUCCUUGCUCAUAAUUGAAGUUAAUUUUUCGUAUGCAUUUGAGCUCUCUACUUAAGCAUGUGGUUUAAACUUGAAAACAUAAUCAGACUUUGAGAAGUGGAGGAAAUUAUCACUCAACCAGACAAUUCAGCAGAGCUGUGAAGUUCAUUGAGAGGAGUAGCUGAUGAAAAAUGUCAAGAAAAACUUACUGAUCAUUCUUGGUCGUAUAAUGGCUGUAAUUAAUUACCACAAAGAUGCGUGUGCUGUUAACAUCCAUUAUUAAUGCUUUCUUUAAAUGGGUGUUAAGGCCUCAACCAUAAAUGGCUGUUAAGCGUUUUGCACAUCGCUGCAGUUUCUAGCGGAGCCCAAGUUUACAUAGGAACCUAAUCCUUUCUUUCCUUGUAACGCAGAGGACAAACAUGAGUAACUAUUGUUAUUAUUAAUUAUUAUUCCUGCUUCAAUAGUAAAAUGGUAAUUUCUUCUUCUU